AAUAAGUCUUCCUUCUAAGAGGUCCAGAAUCUUAAGGGUACCGUCAGUAGAAGCAGUGAUGAGAUAGUUACCAGAAGGAUGGAACGAUACACAGUUAACUUCUGCUCUGUGAACUUUGUAAUGCUGUAGCAGCUUGUUCAUCCGAAUAUCCCACAGUUUCACAGUAUGAUUAGAACCUGCAGAAGCUAUACAUGUACCACUUGGGUUGAAAUCCUUCAUAAUCUAUGAAACUAUCAAUACAUGUUUU
rnacentral:lncRNA from 1 species